CAUACGUCAGGUCUUCUACUGAACUUUUCGAAGAAGAAAGAACCAUGAAGAGGUCUCUAGUCUGUUUAAUGGCUGUUUUCUGCCUUUGCUUUCAACUUACGCUCUGUCAGUUAAGCGUUUCCCUACCGCAUGGACGAAGUUUUAAUCCUGGAUCUUUUGUCCACAAGAAAACUGUAGGAAAUGACGAAAAGAGAGGCGCAGACUACAUGAACAAAUAUGAGAGGACCCCGGGAGAAUAUGAGGCAAGACCAGUCCACCGCUUGGGAAAAGCUCUGCACAGUUAUUUCAACAGUGUUUCCAGUGGACGAAACUUCGCAAGAGACGCUGAUAAUGAUAACUAGAUUCCUCAAGUUAGGAAGAUUGUAAUCCACAUGUAACCUUAUAGUUAAUUAUAGUUACUACAGUGAAAACUGAUUGAAAUGAGAAAUAAAUAUUUUAAAUUGAAGUGAAA